GAGUUUGAUCCUGGCUCAGGACGAACGCUGGCGGCGUGCCUAACACAUGCAAGUCGAACGGAGCUAGACGCUGAGGACGUAGCUUGCUAUUGAAUCUUGUUUAGCUUAGUGGCGGACGGGUGAGUAACGCGUGAGCAACCUGCCUUUCAGAGGGGGAUAACGUUUGGAAACGAACGCUAAUACCGCAUAAUAUUAUUGGAUCGCAUGGUCUGAUAAUCAAAGGAGCAAUCCGCUGAAAGAUGGGCUCGCGUCCGAUUAGGUAGUUGGCGGGGCAACGGCCCACCAAGCCGACGAUCGGUAGCCGGACUGAGAGGUUGAACGGCCACAUUGGGACUGAGACACGGCCCAGACUCCUACGGGAGGCAGCAGUGAGGGAUAUUGGUCAAUGGGGGAAACCCUGAACCAGCAACGCCGCGUGAGGGAAGACGGUUUUCGGAUUGUAAACCUCUGUCCUCUGUGAAGAUGAUGACGGUAGCAGAGGAGGAAGCUCCGGCUAACUACGUGCCAGCAGCCGCGGUAAUACGUAGGGAGCGAGCGUUGUCCGGAUUUACUGGGUGUAAAGGGUGCGUAGGCGGCUCUGCAAGUCAGAAGUGAAAUCUAUGGGCUUAACCCAUAAACUGCUUUUGAAACUGUGGAGCUUGAGUGAAGU
rnacentral:rRNA from 1 species